GUGUGUGUAUAGUAUAGCAGUGUGUGUAAAGUUCUGAGUGUGUGUAGUAUAAAAGUGUGUGUGUAUACUGAGUUUGACUGUGUGUUCAUAGUGGUGUGUCAUUGUGUGCAUACUUUGCCUGAGUGUGUCUGUGUCAAUGUGUAUAUACUAUGUGUGUUGCAGUGUGUGUCGUAUCUAUUCUGUGUUUGAGUGUGUGUUUGUG